GUAUUUUCUUCAGCAGCACAUACAUUAAAAUUGGAAUGAUACAGAGAAGAUUAGCAUGUCCCCUAUGCAAGGAUGACAUGUGAAUUCAUGAAGCAUUCCAUAUUUUU